AUCCUUUUUCAGUUCAUAAACCUGAUAAUUAAGUAUUUACAAGUAGUUAUGAUAUAUUCUUCUCUUAAAUCUUGUUAUGAUGUUGGCACAUUUACCCCCAUCUGAUG
rnacentral:snoRNA from 1 species